GAGUUUGAUCAUGGCUCAGAUUGAACGCUGGCGGCAUGCCUUACACAUGCAGGUCGAACGGCAGCACGGGAGCUUGCUCCUGGUGGCGAGUGGCGAACGGGUGAGUAAUGCAUCGGAACGUAUCCUGGAGUGGGGGAUAACGUAGCGAAAGUUACGCUAAUACCGCAUAUUCUGUGAGCAGGAAAGCGGGGGACCUUCGGGCCUCGCGCUCUUGGAGCGGCCGAUGUCGGAUUAGCUAGUUGGUGAGGUAAAGGCUCACCAAGGCGACGAUCCGUAGCAGGUCUGAGAGGAUGAUCUGCCACACUGGAACUGAGACACGGUCCAGACUCCUACGGGAGGCAGCAGUGGGGAAUUUUGGACAAUGGGGGCAACCCUGAUCCAGCCAUGCCGCGUGAGUGAAGAAGGCCUCGGUU
rnacentral:rRNA from 1 species